AUUGAACGCUGGCGGCAUGCCUUACACAUGCAAGUCGAACGGUAACAGGUCUUCGGAUGCUGACGAGUGGCGAACGGGUGAGUAAUACAUCGGAACGUGCCCGAGAGUGGGGGAUAACGAGGCGAAAGCUUUGCUAAUACCGCAUACGCACUCAGGAUGAAAGCAGGGGACCGCAAGGCCUUGCGCUCACGGAGCGGCCGAUGGCAGAUUAGGUAGUUGGUGGGAUAAAAGCUUACCAACACGACGAUCUGUAGCUGGUCUGAGAGGACGACCAGCCACACUGGGACUGAGACACGGCCCAGACUCCUACGGGAGGCAGCAGUGGGGAAUUUUGGACAAUGGGCGCAAGCCUGAUCCAGCCAUGCCGCGUGCAGGAUGAAGGCCUUCGGGUUGUAAACUGCUUUUGUACGGAACGAAAAGACUCUGGUUAAUACCUGGGGUCCAUGACGGUACCGUAAGAAUAAGCACCGGCUAACUACGUGCCAGCAGCCGCCGUAACAC
rnacentral:rRNA from 1 species